CCAGAUGGGAUCCAAGUUGUGUGCUGCAGCAGCCAAGUGAUGCCUGGAGGUGCCACCAGGACUGGCUGUCCUUGUGCAGGGAAUUCCAGGUGCCAGGGCCAUCCCCAGGGAUGCAGCUCUCCAGAGAGCAGGGCUGGGAUCUGCUGGGCUAAUUAGCACAGAAGGAAGAUUAAAUAGAGCUGACAGGGAGCUUUAAUUGGUGAGAGAAAAACGUGGCUGUCAGGGAGGGACCUUCCCCACGAAAUAACAGGUGAGAGGUGAAAACAAACAAUUUAUUGAUGAUCUGGGAAAGGUGAAAAAGCAUUUCUUGUUAAUCCAGGAAGGAGUCCCUCGUGCUUGCUCAGUCACUCACCUGUUGUCCUCCCACUUGGCCCUGUGCCUGGAAAGGGAAAGGAAGGAGAAGAGGAAGCAAAACUGCGACAGGAGGGAAUCAGACCAUGUAAGGAAAAGAACUGAAUUUAACUGGCACAUGCUCUAAUCCUUAGUUUAUUUCUGGUUAAAAAUAUAGCAAUCCAGUGCAGUGUAAUAAGAAAUCUGCUGAAAAGGUAGCAGAGAAACAGCUAAAACAGAAGCAAAGCAAA